rnacentral:rRNA from 1 species
AUGGGAGUGAAAAACUCCCACGCCGAAAGACCAAGGUUUCCUGCGCAACGCUAAUCGGCGCAGGGUGAGUCGGCCCCUAAGGCGAGGCUGAAGAGCGUAGUCGAUGGGAAACAGGUUAAUAUUCCUGUACCGGUUUAUAUUGCGAUGGAGUGACGGAGAAAGCUAGGCCAGCAUGGCGAUGGUUGUCCAUGUUUAAGGUAGUAGGCUGGGGAAUUAGGCAAAUCCGGUUCCCUAAGGCCGAGAACUGAUGACGAGAUCGACUUUGUCGAUUGAAGUGGUUGAUGCUCUGCUUCCAGGAAAACCUUCUAAGCUUCAGAUAUAAAGCGACCGUACCCCAAACCGACACAGGUGGUCAGGUAGAG